UACACUCCUACGGGAGGCAGCAGUGGGGAAUUUUGGACAAUGGGCGAAAGCCUGAUCCAGCAAUGCCGCGUGAGUGAAGAAGGCCUUCGGGUUGUAAAGCUCUUUUGUCAGGGAAGAAACGGUGAGAGCUAAUAUCUCUUGCUAAUGACGGUACCUGAAGAAUAAGCACCGGCUAACUACGUGCCAGCAGCCGCGGUAAUACGUAGGGUGCAAGCGUUAAUCGGAAUUACUGGGCAUAAAGCGUGCGCAGGCGGUUUUGUAAGUCUGAUGUGAAAUCCCCGGGCUCAACCUGGGAAUUGCAUUGGAGACUGCAAGGCUAGAAUCUGGCAGAGGGGGGUAGAAUUCCACGUGUAGCAGUGAAAUGCGUAGAUAUGUGGAGGAACACCGAUGGCGAAGGCAGCCCCCUGGGUCAAGAUUGACGCUCAUGCACGAAAGCGUGGGGAGCAAACAGGAUUAGAUACCCCAGUAGUCCCAUGA
rnacentral:rRNA from 1 species